rnacentral:rRNA from 1 species
UACGUAGGGGGCAAGCGUUGUCCGGAUUUAUUGGGCGUAAAGAGCGUGUAGGCGGCUUUACAGGUCCGUUGUGAAAACUCGAGGCUCAACCUCGAGACGCCGGUGGAAACCGUAAGGCUAGAGUCCGGAAGAGGAGAGUGGAAUUCCUGGUGUAGCGGUGAAAUGCGCAGAUAUCAGGAAGAACACCCGUGGCGAAGGCGGCUCCUCGUGGGACGGUACUGACGCUGAGACGCGAAAGCGUGGGGAGCGAACAGG